GGGCUAUUAGCUCAGUGGUAGAGCGGGCGAGGUCUCUGGUUCAAGUCCAGGAUGGCCCA
rnacentral:tRNA from 1 species